CCUCCUUAAAAAAUAAUCGCUUAGGAUAGGCGUUCACACGAAUAACUUGCUUUUACCUAAAUCAUUUCUUUACAGAUUUGAGAUUAAGGAGCGUUCUUUAACAUUUUUAUAAGUUCAAUCAAGUCACAUCAUAGUGUCUUAGUUUUUUAAUUUAGAUAUGAAUGAUGUGCAAAUGUCACCAAACCCGUCAUGUUUUAGAACAUAAGUUUGGUGUACAUACUGCAAAGUAAUUUUGGCGAAUGACAAUAGAUACUUGAAGAACAUUAAUCAUUAAGUUGUUUGAUGUAAUAUGGUCAAGUAAUUAAGCGCAUACGGUGGAUGCCUUGGCAGCUAGAGGCGAUGAAGGACGUAGUAACUUGCGAUAAGCUUCGGGGAGCCGGUAAACAGGCUUUGAUCCGAAGAUUUCCGA
rnacentral:misc_RNA from 2 species